UCACCAUCAUUAGAACUGACUCUAACACAUAGCAGCAGUACCACUAUGGAGCAGGGACACACUUCUUCCUCUGCGCCUUCCUACCUAGCAUGGUCCAUCUUUAACACUCUGUGUUGCUGUUUACCUCUGGGGAUCGCUGCUAUUGUCUAUUCCUGCAGGGCACAGGAUUUGGAUGCUCUUGGCCAAGGAGCUGCAGCCCAAAAUGCAUCUAAGACAGCAAGAAACCUUAAUGUGAUUGGACUCGUCUUUGGAAUUAUUCUGAUCAUCAUUGUUAUUGUACUCACAGUCCUCGGAGCGUGAAUGUGUGAAUGAUUAUUUUCAUGAUGUUGAAAUGUUUCUGGAAAAGAUGGAAUACUGCAGAAUUGACCAACCCAUUGAUGGGACACAUCUGUUGGUGUGCUGGAAUAGGCCUUCAAAAUCCAAUAUACUAACAAAAAUGUAAACAUUCUGCAUUCCUGUAUUUCUUCCUUUUUGUUAAUCAAUAAAUACCCUAUCCCAUGGA